GGGGGCUAGCGUUGCUCGGAAUUACUGGGCGUAAAGCGCACGUAGGCGGUCUUUUAAGUCGGGGGUGAAAUCCUGGAGCUCAACUCCAGAACUGCCUUCGAUACUGGAAGACUCGAGUCCGGGAGAGGUGAGUGGAACUGCGAGUGUAGAGGUGAAAUUCGUAGAUAUUCGCAAGAACACCAGUGGCGAAGGCGGCUCACUGGCCCGGUACUGACGCUGAGGUGCGAAAGCGUGGGGAGCAAACAGG
rnacentral:rRNA from 1 species